CAAGCUGGCCUUGAACUCAGGGGAUUCUCCUGUCUAAUCUCCUAAUUGCUGAAAUUACAAGGGUGUGCCACCAUGCCCAGCUGUCAAGUCAACUUGAAAAACAUGGAUUUUAGUUUAAAAGCUAUGUGUUGACUUAUUGAGGGAUCCAGCUCAGGACCUUGCCCUUGAACAGCAGGUGCUGGAACCACUGAGCUAAAUCCCUGGCCCCUUAACAUGUAAAUCUUACAUCUGCAUUGCUGGUGUGUAUAAUAUACAUUUGCAACUGCUGUAGCACAAAUUAACUGUAUUACAAUUUAUGCCAUUUUAAUGUUUUCGUUAAGAAACUGUAAUAUAAUGAAAUACAGUCUGUUAAAUCAAUGCCUUUGCAUUAUUGCAAUCAAAGACCCCAUGAGAAGUGGAACAAGCCUCCCAGUGGGACAAUCAUUCAUGUACCACUGGUGGUUCAAGCCAGUGGGAAUGAUUGAAUUCAAAUCAGAGUCACCUAGCAGUGAGACAUACAAAUUACAGCCCUGUCUUGAAUGUUUUAAAAGCAACAAGAGAACAUGUAAAUGGAACACCUUCUAGAUGACACAAAGACUAAUCUACAAAUAACUAGAAGUGAAAAGUCAGAAGACAGCACAAAUAACGUUAAAAAAACCUGUUCAUAGAAAUAAUGGCAGAAAAUUUCCCAAACAAAGUGAGAGAAGGAAACAUGCAGAUAGUGAGGCAAGUAGCCACAACCAAAACCCUGCCACAUAAUAAAAUAUUAGAAAUCCAUCACAGGGACAAAGACCUUAAAAGUUGUUAGAGAAAAGCAGAAUAUCAAAUAUAAAGGUAAACCCAUCAGAAUUACAGCAAACUUUCAAUACAAACCUUGCACAGGAGGGCUUGGACUGAAUGUUUCAAGUCCUAACAACUUCCAACCUCAACUUUAUAUAAACCUGUGAAACUUUCCUUCAAAAUUGAUGGAAAACUAAGGUAUUUAUUUAUAGGACAAAGCAUUAAAAAAAUUCAUGACCACCAAACCACCAUUACAAAAAGUUCUCAAGGAUAUACUAGAAAGAGACAACGAAGCUAACAAUGGCAGUAAAUCAAGUAGAAUGAGCACAUCUGACAGGAUGAGCAGCUAAAAGGAAAAAAGG
ensembl:lncRNA